rnacentral:lncRNA from 1 species
AUGCUCGAGGAGGGCCGCGGCAACGGCGGCGGCGGCGAGGACGACGUCGUCGUCAACCUCCCCGAAGUCGUCAAGGGCGCUGCCCUCACCCGUGUCAUGGAAGUGCGGGACGACGGCGGCGGAGUAUGCGACGGCGGCGGCGGGCGGGACGACGGCUUCCCCUUCGCCGUCGUUAAGCUCGUCGUCCUCGCGACCGUCCGCGUCCUCGCUGCACUCCACCGCCGCGCCGUUCGAGGUGGGCGCUGCCCUGUUCUUCUUCUCCCGCUCCUAGGACCUUGCCGCUCCCGCUCCCUCCUCAUCUCCCUAGACGCCCAACUCGCGGCCGUCUCGUUCUCGGCUUCAGCGACGGCGGCGAGGGGGGAGGAGUUGUCGGCGGUGUCGGCUUUGGAGGAGGAGCGCUUGCGGUCGGGGUCGGGGACGGAGGCGGCGAGGGAGCCCGGGAGGCGGAGGGUGAGGUCGGUGUCCUCGAAGUCAAGCCCCAACACCGCGGACGACUGGAGCGGCUGUGUGCGCCUGGUGCUUCGACUCACGGACUUCGCUGGCGUUGGUCUUCACGGCGGCGGCGACGGCGGCGUCGGGUGCCUCCCCACGUGAGCGGUCGACG